GCGCUGCCGUUGGCCGGCUCGGCCCGCAGGGCCGCGGCGGUUUGGCAGCGGGGCAUUGUGGGAAGCAGAGGGAAAUAUGGCGGAUGGUGAGGAGCCGGAGAAGAAAAGAAGGAGGAUAGAGGAGCUGCUGGCGGAUGGAAUGGCUGUUGAUGGUGGGUGUGGGGACACUGGAGACUGGGAAGGUCGCUGGAACCAUGUAAAGAAGUUCCUCGAGCGAUCUGGACCAUUUACACACCCUGAUUUCGAGCCAAGCACUCAACCUCUCGACUUUUUGUUAAACACAUGUAAAGUUCUAGUUAUUGGAGCAGGAGGAUUAGGAUGUGAACUCCUGAAAAAUCUGGCAUUGUCUGGUUUUAGACAAAUCCAUGUUAUUGACAUGGAUACUAUAGAUGUUUCUAAUCUGAAUAGGCAAUUUUUGUUUCGACCCAAAGAUGUUGGACGACCUAAAGCAGAGGUUGCAGCAGAAUUUCUAAACAACCGAAUUCCUAAUUGUGCUGUUGUACCACAUUUUAAAAAAAUUCAGGAUAUGGAUGAAACUUUCUAUCGGCAAUUUCAUAUUAUUGUAUGUGGUCUGGACUCUAUAAUUGCAAGAAGAUGGAUAAAUGGCAUGCUGAUGUCAUUUUUAAACUAUGAAGAUGGCAUGUUAGAUCCAAGUUCCAUCAUACCUUUGAUAGAUGGAGGAACAGAAGGUUUUAAAGGAAACGCUCGUGUGAUUAUUCCUGGAAUGACAGCUUGUAUUGAAUGCACACUUGAACUUUAUCCGCCUCAGAUCAAUUUUCCCAUGUGUACUAUUGCAUCUAUGCCCAGGCUGCCGGAACAUUGUAUUGAAUAUGUCAGGAUAUUGCAGUGGCCCAAGGAACAUCCUUUUGGAGAGAGUGUUCCUUUGGAUGGAGAUGACCCUGAUCAUAUACAAUGGAUUUACCAACAAUCUUUAGAAAGAGCAUCACAGUUCAAUAUUAAGGGUGUUACAUACAGACUUACUCAAGGGGUUGUUAAGCGGAUCAUUCCAGCUGUCGCUUCUACAAAUGCAGUCAUUGCAGCUGUAUGCGCCACUGAAGUUUUCAAAAUAGCAACAAGUGCAUACAUUCCUCUUAAUAACUACUUGGUGUUCAAUGAUGUAGAUGGAUUAUAUACAUAUACAUUUGAAGCUGAAAGAAAGGAGAAUUGUCCCGCCUGCAGCCAACUCCCUCAAAAUAUAGAGUUCCCUUCAUCAGCAAAACUGCAGGAGGUCUUGGAUUAUUUGACAAAUAAUGCUUCAUUGCAAAUGAAAUCUCCAGCAAUCACAGCAACUGUGUAUGGGGGGAAUAAAACACUCUAUUUACAGACAGUAGCUUCAAUUGAAGAACGAACAAGGCCAAAUCUUUCUAAGACACUGAAAGAGUUGGGGCUCGUGGAUGGUCAGGAACUUGCAGUUGCUGAUGUAACUACACCACAGACUAUGUUGUUCAAGCUUCAUUUUACUACUUAAUUUAAGCCUCAUUAAUCUGCACAUACAGUGAGAGAAUUCUGCACACCAUGUAAAACAUGUGCUCUAUGUGGAUGUUCAGAGUAACCUAAAAUGUCCCUUUUAAGUACUAGCCUUGCUGGAAGUUAGAUUAUCCCAGGUGAAUCACUCUUAUUUUAGAACUGUCCUUAGAAGCCAAUAUUUGGUGGAUGGUAUUUGUAUAAAUACUCAUUAAUGUACAGAACUUGAUGUACAGUGGUAAUUUUUUUCGGUUUAUGUGUUGAUGUUAAAAUAAUGCCAACACUCCUUCCUACACUUGGACAUUUUUUGGUGGUCAAAGGAGUUGUUCUCUGCUUGCAUUUGAACACCCACAUCUACAAAAGAAUAUCCUUUAAGGAGGACCAUGAUGAUUUUAAAUUAAAUUUUAGAACCCAUAUACAUUUGCUGAAUCUUAUAUUAAAACUUGCGGGCAGUAGAGUAAAAUAAGCAUUGUAUGUUUCCUCCUUUAUUUAAUAUUCAUUUUUAUUGACCUGCUAAACGGAUAUUAAGUAUUGCAGAGGGUUAAUUAACUUUGUUUACAAAAUAUGGAAAGACAGUGUAAUUAAAUUAAAUGAACAUCUAUGCAUGUAAACAAAGUAUUUUUCAUGUUUAUAUUUGCAGUAGAUUAGCGGUUACUAUGCACAAUAGUUCAGUCAGAAGCCCACUGAUGUUCAGGAUUGGUGAGUAUUUAUUAAUAAAAAUAUAAAGAUAACUUGUUCUGCAGUAUGUCAAUGGGAAUUCAGGACAAUAUGUGACCAGAAGAAAGA